AAACCGAACCGAAUCGGACCCGUUCGGGUCGGGUCUUCGGUUUUUCGGGUCCGGACGCCCACCCCUGGCCAAAAUCCAUUCAGCCCCGUUGCCCGACGUAUUGCUCUCUUCGACUCAUCAGUCUCCGUUGCGGACUUGCGGCCGGUGCCUACUGCCUUGCCACUCGGCCCUCGGUGCAGCUUUCAAUCUCUCAAAGUUUCAACUUUCAAGUAAAAUCAUCGAAACAGGUGCCUGAGGCUGCUGUAGGAAGAUUCAAUGAGCUCCAACACGACUGACACCAAGAAGGAGAAGAAGGGUCAUCCUCAAAUUGUUAAAUUGAAUAAAGCUUUGGCAUUGGCUGAAAAAUGGGUUAGUAACAUGAGUAAAUUACCAGCAGAAGAUGAGUCUUUUGAGACACAGAGUCGACCUGCUAGGCUUGGACUAGGUGCUAAAGUUCCCCGUGCAUCCACAUUUGUGCCUUCAGAUGAUCCCCUUGAAAGAAAGCUAUAUUACAAGUUGAAUGCUCAAAAGAGAAAAGCUGCCAAAAUUGCAGAGGAGUUGGCACCAGCUGCUGCAGAUGGUGAUGGUGACGAUGAAGAUAAUGAAGACAGCAGAACCAGUGCGUUCGAGAAGAAAAAGAGAGCAGCUAAUCCACUCACCCCACCUUUAGGGAAAAAGAAAAGGAGAAAGUGAGUAUCUCACCAUGAGACACUAGCUAUGUCAUCUUGUUGAAAGUGAAAAGCUUUGGUCCUGUUCUUGUUGUAGCUGAUAUUCAGUACAUGAGUACAAAAAACAUUUAUUUUGAUAAGUGCUCUCUAUCCACAUUACACUGAGGGAAGCAGAGAUAAACAAGAUAAGUUUAACUAUCUGUGCCUCCCCUAUUGGAAACAUACAGGCUACAUUUCGUACUAGUUAAUUAUAUCACCCUUUAUCUUAGGCAACAUAUCAACUCAGUAUGCAUUGUUGUUUCCAUCAGUUUGAAAUCUUAUUGAUCCCCUACGAGCUUUUGCAAUGUUAAAAUAAAAAUUUGUCAGCCAUCACAGAUUAAUUAUAUGUAAUAGCAUGAACUGGAUAUAUUUAUUUCGAGCAGAAAUGCUGAGCAUGUGAAACAAUAUAGCAGUGGGCCAGAAGUGAAGUCCUAAAAUAAAAGAAAGCUUGAAACAAUCAAAUAUAGUACUAGUAGCACAGAGUAUUACAAGCACCAAGUCAAUACAAUUAAAACUUACAACCUAGACAAGUUAGCACGCAGCAGCCUUCCAGUCAAUCUGAAUAGCUGGGAGAUCUCUGAUUUCUGAAGCGAGUCCUAGGUUAGUAUCAGAAUUUAACUCUGUCCCACAGUUCUCUACCCCAAAGAAUCGCUUAGUUCUUUCAGUCAAAUAACCCCAAUGAAUUUGUUAGCCUUUCCACCUUGCUUUCUUGAAAAUAGCAUUUAGCUGUAUCAAUUUGCAGCCCUGACUCCCGAGUCCCGACAAGCACAAAAACAAUCUAUUGUUUUGACAGUAUAAUGGACCAAAUUAGAUUUGUUGGUGAAGUCAUCUGCUCAUUGCAAAGGAGUGAUCGCCACCUCCUCUUUUCCUACUUCCAGUCUUUUUAUGAGCUUCUUCUUAGCCUAGGGUAAUAAUCUUCUCAGCACUCUGUGACAGCCGGUGUGAAUAAGAAAGGCGAUUGAGACAAAUAUUAUGUUUUGAUUUUGAUGUUUUAGAUGAACUGUUUGCCUAACUGGAUUUUGUAAGUUUACGAGAUCAUUUAGUACUUAUUGCUGCUAACCAUGAUACUAAUGUUAAAUGCUUUCUGGUAAACCUAGCACGUCGUUUAAUUGGGGAUUGACAUUAUUUAACCGCUGAAAUGCUAUUCUGAGUGGUUUCCCAUUAGUUUUGCAAUUGAUAAAUAUUCUGGCAACUUGUUUCACCGACACAAAUCUCCUCACAUUGUAUUCUGG